rnacentral:rRNA from 1 species
UACGAAGGGGGCUAGCGUUGCUCGGAAUUACUGGGCGUAAAGCGCACGUAGGCGGAUUGUUAAGUCGGGGGUGAAAUCCUGGAGCUCAACUCCAGAACUGCCUUCGAUACUGGCGAUCUCGAGUUCGGGAGAGGUGAGUGGAACUGCGAGUGUAGAGGUGAAAUUCGUAGAUAUUCGCAAGAACACCAGUGGCGAAGGCGGCUCACUGGCCCGAUACUGACGCUGAGGUGCGAAAGCCAGGGGAGCAAACGGG